UACGUAGGGGGCAAGCGUUAUCCGGAUUUACUGGGUGUAAAGGGAGCGUAGACGGCAUGGCAAGUCUGAAGUGAAAGCCCGGGGCUCAACCGCGGGACUGCUUUGGAAACUGUUAAGCUGGAGUGCAGGAGAGGUAAGUGGAAUUCCUAGUGUAGCGGUGAAAUGCGUAGAUAUUAGGAGGAACACCAGUGGCGAAGGCGGCUUACUGGACUGUAACUGACGUUGAGGCUCGAAAGCGUG
rnacentral:rRNA from 1 species